GCCAAAGAUGCCGCUGUAGAGGUCAUUGACCGUCACUGACCCUCCAAGAUGACCUUUCUAGCCGUAGUGUAGAGGCAUAUCCUAGAGAUGCAAACAGCCAAGUGCAAGAGAGAUCCUUAAUCUCAAAGAGUAUACCUGAGACCUAAAUGAAGCUCCACAACCACAAAAGAUGAGAAGCAGAGCAAACAAGCCAAACACCAUGGCCACAAUGCAGAUCUAAAGCAGGGAUCCUCUCCCUUUUACCCAAAAACUUGCAAAACCAACCACAUAAACCAUUAUUUACUCCCAUUCAUAUGAAGGAGAGCGGACCUUAACUAGAUGAGGAAGAAGACCAUCUCCUUCCCCUUCCCCUACCUCGAAAGGUAGGGGAAGCUUUCAAGAAGCUACUUGGCUCAAUGAUUCAAAGAGGUACAGCGAGA
rnacentral:misc_RNA from 1 species